AUUGAACGCUGGCGGCAGGCUUAACACAUGCAAGUCGAGCGGGGGAGGUUACUUCGGUAACUGACCUAGCGGCGGACGGGUGAGUAAUGCUUAGGAAUCUGCCUAUUAGUGGGGGACAACAUUCCGAAAGGAAUGCUAAUACCGCAUACGCCCUACGGGGGAAAGCAGGGGAUCUUCGGACCUUGCGCUAAUGGAUGAGCCUAAGUGGGGUUAGCUAGUUGGUGGGGUAAAGGCCUACCAAGGCGACGAUCUGUAGCGGGUCUGAGAGGAUGAUCCGCCACACUGGGACUGAGACACGGACCAGACUCCUACGGGAGGCAGCAGUGGGGAAUAUUGGACAAUGGGCGGAAGCCUGAUCCAGCCAUGCCGCGUGUGUGAAGAAGGCCUUUUGGUUGUAAAGCACUUUAAGCGAGGAGGAGGCUCCUUUAGUUAAUACCUAAAGAGAGUGGACGUUACUCGCAGAAUAAGCACCGGCUAACUCUGUGCCAGCCGCCGCCGUAA
rnacentral:rRNA from 1 species